CUUAGUGGAAACAGCACACACCUGGCUGGGUCUUGCCAGGUGGAGACGCUGAAGGCUGUUUCUUUCCAGUCCUGGAAGACGCGGAAUUCUUUCUCAGCAGCUUUGCUCGGCCUGCGUCUGAGCGUGGAAGAUACCGCAUCCCAGAGUUGCUGUGAGCUUCAAACGAGACAAGAUAUGUAGAAGUGCCAGAACAGACUUCCUGUCUUGAGCACCUGCCCUGUUUAGGCUUCCCA